CCUACGGGCGGCAGCAGUGGGGAAUAUUGGACAAUGGGCGAAAGCCUGAUCCAGCCAUGCCGCGUGUGUGAAGAAGGCCUUCGGGUUGUAAAGCACUUUCAGUGGGGAAGAAAGCCUUGGGGCUAAUACCCUCGAGGAAGGACAUCACCCACAGAAGAAGCACCGGCUAACUCCGUGCACAGCAGCCGCGGUAAUACGGAGGGUGCGAGCGUUAAUCGGAAUUACUGGGCGUAAAGCGCGCGUAGGCGGUCUGAUAAGCCGGUUGUGAAAGCCCCGGGCUCAACCUGGGAACGGCAUCCGGAACUGUCAGGCUAGAGUGCAGGAGAGGAAGGUAGAAUUCCCGGUGUAGCGGUGAAAUGCGUAGAGAUCGGGAGGAAUACCAGUGGCGAAGGCGGCCUUCUGGACUGACACUGACGCUGAGGUGCGAAAGCGUGGGUAGCAAACAGGAUUAGAUACCCUAGUAGUC
rnacentral:rRNA from 1 species